AGCAGCCGCGGUAAUUCCAGCUCCAAUAGCGUAUAUUAAAGUUGUUGCAGUUAAAAAGCUCGUAGUUGAAUUUCGGGAUCAAUAUGUUGGUCGUGCCAUUGGUACGUACUGGCAUUAUUGGUUUCUACCUUCUGAAGAACCUCGAUGUCAUUAAUUUGGUGUCUUGGGGAAUCAGGACUGUUACUUUGAAAAAAUUAGAGUGUUUAAAGCAAGCUCGCGCUUGAAUACAUUAGCAUGGAAUAAUGAAAUAGGACGUUUGAUUCUAUUUUGUUGGUUUCUAGGAUUGACGUAAUGAUUAAUAGGGAUAGUUGGGGGCAUUAGUAUUCAAUUGUCAGAGGUGAAAUUCUUGGAUUUAUUGAAGACUAACUACUGCGAAAGCAUUUGCCAAGGAUGUUUUCAUUAAUCAAGAACGAAAGUUAGGGGAUCGAAGACGAUCAGAUACCGUCGUAGUCUUAACCAUAAACUAUGCCGACUAGGGAUCGGAUGAUGUUAAUUUUUUAAUGACUCAUUCGGCGCCUUACG
rnacentral:rRNA from 1 species